rnacentral:rRNA from 1 species
CCCUUAGAUGUUCUGGGCCGCACGCGCGCUACAAUGAUGCAGGCAACGAGUGCCGCUCCUUAGCCGAAAGGCUUGGGGAAUCUUGAAAACUGCAUCGUGCUAGGGAUAGAUGAUUGCAAUCGUGCAUCUUGAACGAGGAAUGCCUUGUAAGCGUGAGUCAUCAACUCGCGCUGAAUACGUCCCUGCCCUUUGUACACACCGCCCGUCGCUACUACCGAUUGAAUGGUUUAGUGAGGACUCCUGAUUGGCGCCGCCGCCCCGGCAACGGAGCAGCGGACUGCCGAAAAGUUGUUCAAACUUGAUCAUUUAGAGGAAGUAAAAGUCGUAACA